rnacentral:rRNA from 1 species
AUCGCUGCUUGGCCGCACGAACUUCUGACCUAUCAGCUUAGGACUGUGGUGUAGUGGACCACUGUGGCUAUCACGGGUAACGGAGAAUUAGGGUUUGAUACCGGAGAGGGAGCCUGAUACACGGCUACCACUGCUAAGGUGGGCAGCAGGCACGCAAAUUGCCCAAUACCAGCAC